rnacentral:rRNA from 1 species
UACGUAGGGUGCGAGCGUUAAUCGGAAUUACUGGGCGUAAAGCGUGCGUAGGCGGUCCGUCAAGUCUGCUGUGAAAGCCCCGGGCUCAACCUGGGAACUGCAGUGGAAACUAGCGGGCUGGAGUGUGGCAGAGGGGGGUGGAAUUCCACGUGUAGCAGUGAAAUGCGUAGAGAUGUGGAGGAACACCGAUGGCGAAGGCAGCCCCCUGGGCUGACACUGACGCUGAGGCACGAAAGCGUGGGGAGCAAACAGG